rnacentral:rRNA from 1 species
GGGUUGUGAGGUUAAGCGACUAAGCGUACACGGUGGAUGCCCUGGCAGUCAGAGGCGAUGAAGGACGUGCUAAUCUGCGAUAAGCGCCGGUAAGGUGAUAUGAACCGUUAUAACCGGCGAUUUCCGAAUGGGGAAACCCAGUGUGAUUCGUCACACUAUCAUUAACUGAAUCCAUAGGUUAAUGAGGCGAACCGGGGGAACUGAAACAUCUAAGUACCCCGAGGAAAAGAAAUCAACCGAGAUUCCCCCAGUAGCGGCGAGCGAACGGGGAGGAGCCCAGAGCCUGAAUCAGCAUAUGUGUUAGUGGAAGCGUCUGGAAAGGCGCGCGAUACAGGGUGACAGCCCCGUACACAAAAGCGCAUGUGCUGUGAGCUCGAUGAGUAGGGCGGGACACGUGGUAUCCUGUCUGAAUAUGGGGGGACCAUCCUCCAAGGCUAAAUACUCCUGACUGACCGAUAGUGAACCAGUACCGUGAGGGAAAGGCGAAAAGAACCCCGGCGAGGGGAGUGAAAAAGAACCUGAAACCGUGUACGUACAAGCAGUGGGAGCCCCACCACUAAGCCAGUGGUGAACUCCACAUACGCAUCCUUUGCUGAGGAUACGGUUAACGGAGCGAAAGCGACGUUCAACCUCAAAAGAAGCAGAGGGGGCUUAGUGGUGG